rnacentral:rRNA from 1 species
UACGGAGGGUGCGAGCGUUGUCCGGAAUCACUGGGCGUAAAGGGCGCGUAGGCGGCAGGCCAAGCGUGCGGUGAAAGUCCGGGGCUCAACCCCGGAUCUGCCGUGCGGGCUGGUUUGCUAGAGCACUGUAGAGGCGAGUGGAAUUCCGGGUGUAGCGGUGGAAUGCGUAGAGAUCCGGAAGAACACCGGUGGCGAAGGCGGCUCGCUGGGCAGUGGCUGACGCUGAGGCGCGACAGCGUGGGGAGCAAACAGG